CAUCCGGCGAGAGCCACUUCCGGUCAGAACAUCAAUGACCGCCAUUUGAAUCAACAAAAGGAGCUGUAACACUGUGAGGGUCUGGUCAGCUGCUUCAUUCUUGAAGUCAGUGAGACCGCAAACCCACCAGAAGGAACCAACUCCGGACACAGAGGGACUAGAUAAUACUGGCUGAAUGAAGGAAUAUGAACAAGGCCACUUAAGAUGCCCUUCUUGCAUGGCCGUAUAUCUUGAGCUUAUGGAUGAUUUAUUGCAACUGGCUGUUACUUCUCUCCCUUGAGCUCAUGGAGGGUGUCUUGGUCCUGAUUAUAUUUCAAGCUAACCUUCCCACUGUGAACUACUGGCAUCUUACUUUUUGACCCCUUGACAAGAAGAACUGGAGUUACCAAAAUGCUGUCAUUUAAGGUGUUGGAGUGGAAACCAGAACAUUACCUAUUAUCAAGAAGGGGU
rnacentral:lncRNA from 1 species